GAUGAACGCUAGCGGGAGGCCUAAUACAUGCAAGUCGAGCGGUAGAGUGACUUCGGUUGCUUGAGAGCGGCGCACGGGUGAGUAACGCGUACAUGACCUACCUUUAAGACUGGGAUAGCCCUGGGAAACUGGGAUUAAUACCGGAUGUGAUAAUACGUAUAGAGAUGUAUUAUUAAAGUUGAGGCGCUUAGAGAUGGAUGUGCGUCUGAUUAGCUAGUUGGUAGGUAACGGCCUACCAAGGCUACGAUCAGUAGGGGGCGUGAGAGCGUGACCCCCCACACGGGUACUGAGACACGGACCCGACUCCUACGGGAGGCAGCAGUAAGGAAUAUUGGUCAAUGGAGGGAACUCUGAACCAGCCAUCCCGCGUGCAGGAUGAAGGGGCGUCUGCCCUGUAAACUGCUUUUGAAAUGGGGACGAAAAAA
rnacentral:rRNA from 1 species